rnacentral:piRNA from 1 species
UGGGCGGUGGUUCCUUCACCAAUGGU